UGGUAGGGAGAAAAGCUCUUGAACUGGAAGACUACACCUGGCUGACACCUGAAUUGCCCUGGAGGAAUGCAAGUAAGAUGGACGUGUCAGAGGCUGCUGUCUGGGCGGUACUGACACAAGAAGACGCUGGAGUGGAGAGAACAGUAACCUACGCCAGCUGAAAGUUGCUGCCCGCAGAAACAAGAUGCAACAAUGAAACCAAAGACAACAAUGAGAGACAAGAACACACAGAACUACAGGACAAGACGGGUAGGAUGUUAAGAGACAGAAAGGAACCGCCCCAAGGCAAUUUAAGGCGGUGGUUGUGUCCCGCGGGGGAGAAUAGGGGAAAGAACCCCAAACAACAAACGGGGACUGCCUGGGGUGGGAAGCACACGAUGAAAAGGGAAAAGAUAUAAAAAUAACUCAAAGAGAUUACUUACCAGCAGCUGGAGGGAGAAAGGAUAUCCACGCGGGUCAUAAGCCGCACCUUUAUCCAGCUGAAACCGACCGGUGACGUCAUUGGCAAUCACCAGGCAGUGGGAAUAAAGUGAACCGCCGGGGAAGAUGGCGGAAGGAGCGGAGCAGAGAUGGGGAAGUCCCUGACACCAGGCACUGCCCGAAAUACCCUGAGGGAGAGAGAGCUGGCAGGGGCUCUCUAUAUCAACGAGAAACAAAGUGCUGAAGAGACAGGGGAGCCAGAAGAGGCUCCCUGCACCGACAGAGGCAGGAUCAGCGGAGGGAUGACAGAGCCAGAGGAGGCUCUCCUCGCUAACAGAGGUGGGAGUGUCAGAGGAGUGCAGGAGGCAAAGGAGGCUUCCCCUCCAGGCGGAGAUGGAAUGGAGCAGCAAGGGAAGCUGAGGUACAGCCCAGCCAGAGGCUGGUUGACAGCCCACAACACUAGGAGUGGCCGGAUACGUGGGGAGACACCCCAGGAUAGCAGAGAUGGGACGCUCCCUACAGGGGAGAAGGACAACAGCGGCCCAUGUCACACAGGGCAGAGGGAGAGCAAGGGGCCUGAUUCUUUUUUUUUUUUUUUUUUUUCCCAGUGCGGGGUGAGCUGCUGGAGGGCUGAAUGGACCCUGAGUUGCAAGAGGCCCUGGUCCUACCCUCCACAGAGGUGUCACCUCCUGGGGGCUGCCCAAGUGGGCUGCUAGCAGGCCAGGUGCUGCCCCAGCUCAAAGGCAGCACCCAGCCUGAUCCAACAGUUCCCCAAGCCUGCCCACUGAAGUUCAUCAGGUGCUGCUCCCUGAGUGGGCUCGGGGAACCAUUGGAUCAGGAGCCACUCAGCCCACCAGCAACUUGCCCCCCCUCCCUGUGGUCAGGCUCCAGCUCCAACAAAAAAAAAGGGGAGGGGUUGGGCCCCUCUCUAUAAUGUGACAGAAACCUAGGCUUGCAAGGUUCUGAGUUUGGGAAUACUCAAGAAUUGGAAGAGUCAGUGCACAAUGAAAGUGAAGCCCUGGACCACAAAGGAAAUCACCUGCUAGGCACUUUCUGCCUGUGUGGCUCAUGGAAGUCACUGGAACACAGGACAAACAUGAAGAUCCUUGUGGCUGGAAUACUGUGGUGGUCUGGGGCUUGAGAAUAUAUUGUAAAUGAAGGAAUACUUUUUAAAAAAUUGGUGCAUAAACACAAACUGAACUGUGUUGUGUCUGUGAAGUAUGCUUUGCCUUACGGGGAUUAAGAGCUGAUCCUUUCCCAAAAUAGAGACUCGAAUUGUUGGAAUUGUCCAUGUGUCAGUUAGGAUAAUCUGAUAACUGCUUAAGUCUUGGUAUAGUGCUGGGUUAAACUAUUAUCCCCUAGAAUUACUCUCAUAAAAUUUAGUGGUUUGUUUUUUCCAUCAGUUCUUGCAGUUAUUAGUGUUAGUUUAAACAGUAGCAUUUAUUGUAGGCAUUUAUCUUCAUUAAUAAAGAUCUCUGUGGGUUACAAAACUAUUUGCACAUCAGAUUACCUGUAAAUCUUGGGAAUAGUUAGAAACAGACAACUCCUAACCCCAAAUAGUUCAGAACACACCAAUUCAUAACA